UGGGGAAUAUUGCACAAUGGGGGAAACCCUGAUGCAGCGACGCCGCGUGAGCGAAGAAGGUUUUCGAAUCGUAAAGCUCUGUCCUAUGAGAAGUUAAUGACGGUAUCAUAGGAGGAAGCCCCGGCUAAAUACGUGCCAGCAGCCGCGGUAAUACGUAUGGGGCGAGCGUUGUCCGGAAUUAUUGGGCGUAAAGGGUACGUAGGCGGUCUAUUAAGUCAGGUGUGAAAGCGUGAGGCUUAACCUCAUUAAGCACUUGAAACUGAUAGACUUGAGUGAAGGAGAGGAAAGUGGAAUUCCUAGUGUAGCGGUGAAAUGCGUAGAUAUUAGGAGGAAUACCGGUGGCGAAGGCGACUUUCUGGACUUUUACUGACGCUCAGGUACGAAAGCGUGGGGAGCAAACAGG
rnacentral:rRNA from 1 species